GUAGGUGAACCUGCGGAAGGAUCAUUAGUGAAUUUAGCGCAGCUGCUUGCAGCGCGUGACCCCACUCUACACACUGUGCACCAUUGGCGGAGAGAGAAUGAAUAACUUUGGUCAUUCGGCCUCUUUUCUGCGGCUCAUUUUAAACACCAGUCAAAGUAUGUAUACGAAAUAUCGAAAAAAGAAAAACUUUCAACAACGGAUCUCUUGGCUCUC
rnacentral:misc_RNA from 1 species